rnacentral:rRNA from 1 species
GAUGAACGCUGGCGGCGUGCCUAAUGCAUGCAAGUCGAGCGACGCAUAUGGACGGGGUAACCCAUCCGUAUGACGGAGCGGCGAACGGGUGAGUAACACGUGAGCAACCUGCCCCACAGAUCGGGAUAGCCCAGGGAAACCUGGAUUAAUACCGGAUAUUCUCAGAGGACCGCAUGGUCAGUUGAGGAAAUGCCUUUGUGCUGUGGGAUGGGCUCGCGGCUUAUCAGCUAGUUGGUGGGGUAACGGCCUACCAAGGCGUCGACGAGUAGCUGGUCUGAGAGGACGAUCAGCCACACUGGGACUGAGACACGGCCCAGACUCCUACGGGAGGCAGCAGCAGGGAAUUUUGCGCAAUGGACGAAAGUCUGACGCAGCAACGCCGCGUGGGGGAUGAAGGCCUUCGGGUUGUAAACCCCUUUCAGGAGGGAAGAAAUUGACGGUACCUCCAGAAGAAGCACCGGCCAACUACGUGCCAGCCGCCGCCGUAAGAC